CCCUUAGAUGUUCUGGGCCGCACGCGCGCUACACUGAUGCAUGCAACAAGUCUUUUCCUUGGCCGAGAGGCCUGGGCAAUCUUUGAAUAUGCAUCGUGAUGGGGAUAGACGAUUGCAAUUAUUCGUCUUCAACGAGGAAUUCCUAGUAAACGCAAGUCAUCAGCUUGCAUUGAUUACGUCCCUGCCCUUUGUACACACCGCCCGUCGCACCUACCGAUUGAAUGGUCCGGUGAAGGCUCCGGAGGCGUCUUUCUCAAUGUUUAUUCGGCGAGAUUGGUGCCAAAGUUGAAUGAACCUUACCAUUUAGAGGAAGGUGAAGUCGUAACA
rnacentral:rRNA from 1 species